AACAAUCCUGUAAGAGGGGUAUAUUUGUUAGUAUGAGAAAACAACCCCAUAAAAAGAAUUUAAUUUUUAAUAUGAGAAAUAUGACCCGUAAGAGGGCUAUAUUAGUAAAUAUUAGAAAAUAACCCCGUAAGACAGUUAUAUGUUUGAGUAAGACACAACAACUCCAUAAAAGGAAAUAUUUGUUAAUAUAAGAAAUAAUUGAAUAACGAAUAAAAAGGAAAUAAUAAUAAACUAAUAAAUAAAUAAAUAAUAUUAUAUAAGAAAAAAAAAAAAAUUUCCUUCCUUUUCUCUUUCUUUUUCUUUCCCCCUCCUUCCCCUUCUUCCUCCCUGCUGCUCUCUCUCCCUCCCCGUCUUUCGCCAUUUCCGACCACACGCUGCCGCCCAGCCAGCCAACUUCUCUUCGCCUUCCCCUGUCUCGCCGGCGCCACCUUCUUCUUCCUCCCUCUCUCACUGCCGACGUCAGCGUGGAAAAAGGAGCUACCGCCGCUGAAACGACCUUCUGCCGCCGUCCAUUCGAUCGUUCAACACCAGAAUCGAGCUCCCCGCCACCAGAAACCCCCGAGCUGAGCUUCCCAGCCGUGCUUUCCCCGGCGGCAGUUGUGUGCAAACUAAUCAGAGCCGAAACUUUCCGGUCUCGAUCUGGUGUCUUCCGACGAGUUUUCAGCCAAAACUUUUGCAUUUUCGGACUUUCCGCAACUCAAGCUUCACGUAAGCGUUUCCGGAUUCAAAUUCUGACACCGUUGGCAGUACUGAUUUUCGGAACGCUCGAAAUUUUCGACUUAGCAUAAUUUUAUUUAGACUUGAAAAUUUAUGUUAUAAUAUUAAAAAAUAUUGUUACUAUUAAUUAUUAAUUUUGAUAAUUUAAAUUAAUUGGAUUCAAUUAACUGUGACUUAAAUAUAAAUGCUACAAAUUAACGGGUAUGAUUAAUUACUGUGUUGAAUUAAUUUAAAUACUAGAAAAAUUUAUGUGGGUUGGUUGUUGAAAUAAAUAUUAUGUUUGUCCAUCUGUAAGAUAAUUGUGAUAUGUGGUGUGUUGCAGAGUCGGGCAAAAUUAUGUAGUUUUAGUAGCCCGAUACCUGUUAGUUAAUUGCAGAAUAAUUGAAGUGUUUCUAGCAGGUUUUGAACCCGUUAUACGGGAGGUAAACAUUCAUAUUUAAGAGGGGGCUCUGCCGAAUUUUUGAUAAAAUUUCCGAAUCUGAAUUUUUUUAAGCACUCUAAAAGUCUAGCCUAGGACAAACUUAAGAAUAUCUUAUUAACUGAGGAUUUUUAUGAAUAGAUAAUCCAUCCAUCCAGUCAGCGCCACCCGAGGCGUAGGAGCAGACUACAGAG
rnacentral:lncRNA from 1 species